UGCUGCUUUGCUGACGAGUGGCGGACGGGUGAGUAAUGUCUGGGAAACUGCCUGAUGGAGGGGGAUAACUACUGGAAACGGUGGCUAAUACCGCAUAACGUCGCAAGACCAAAGAGGGGGACCUUCGGGCCUCUUGCCAUCAGAUGUGCCCAGAUGGGAUUAGCUUGUUGGUGAGGUAACGGCUCACCAAGGCGACGAUCCCUAGCUGGUCUGAGAGGAUGACCAGCCACACUGGAACUGAGACACGGUCCAGACUCCUACGGGAGGCAGCAGUGGGGAAUAUUGCACAAUGGGCGCAAGCCUGAUGCAGCCAUGCCGCGUGUAUGAAGAAGGCCUUCGGGUUGUAAAGUACUUUCAGCGGGGAGGAAGGUGUUGCGGUUAAUAACCGCAGCAAUUGACGUUACCCGCAGAAGAAGCACCGGCUAACUCCGUGCCAGCAGCCGCGGUAAUACGGAGGGUGCAAGCGUUAAUCGGAAUUACUGGGCGUAAAGCGCACGCAGGCGGUCUGUCAAGUCGGAUGUGAAAUCCCCGGGCUCAACCUGGGAACUGCAUUCGAAACUGGCAGGCUUGAGUCUUGUAGAGGGGGGUAGAAUUCCAGGUGUAGCGGUGAAAUGCGUAGAGAUCUGGAGGAAUACCGGUGGCGAAGGCGGCCCCCUGGACAAAGACUGACGCUCAGGUGCGAAAGCGUGGGGAGCAAACAGAAUUAGAUACCCUGGUAGUCCACGCCGUAAACGAUGUCUACUUGGAGGUUGUGCCCUUGAGGCGUG
rnacentral:rRNA from 1 species